rnacentral:rRNA from 1 species
CGGACGGGUGAGUAAUGCCUAGGAAUCUGCCUGGUAGUGGGGGACAACGUCUCGAAAGGGACGCUAAUACCGCAUACGUCCUACGGGAGAAAGCAGGGGACCUUCGGGCCUUGCGCUAUCAGAUGAGCCUAGGUCGGAUUAGCUAGUUGGUGAGGUAAUGGCUCACCAAGGCGACGAUCCGUAACUGGUCUGAGAGGAUGAUCAGUCACACUGGAACUGAGACACGGUCCAGACUCCUACGGGAGGCAGCAGUGGGGAAUAUUGGACAAUGGGCGAAAGCCUGAUCCAGCCAUGCCGCGUGUGUGAAGAAGGUCUUCGGAUUGUAAAGCACUUUAAGUUGGGAGGAAGGGUUGUAGAUUAAUACUCUGCAAUUUUGACGUUACCGACAGAAUAAGCACCGGCUAACUCUGUGCCAGCAGCCGCGGUAAUACAGAGGGUGCAAGCGUUAAUCGGAAUUACUGGGCGUAAAGCGCGCGUAGGUGGUUUGUUAAGUUGGAUGUGAAAGCCCCGGGCUCAACCUGGGAACUGCAUUCAAAACUGACAAGCUAGAGUAUGGUAGAGGGUGGUGGAAUUUCCUGUGUAGCGGUGAAAUGCGUAGAUAUAGGAAGGAACACCAGUGGCGAAGGCGACCACCUGGACUGAUACUGACACUGAGGUGCGAAAGCGUGGGGAGCAAACAGGAUUAGAUACCCUGGUAGUCCACGCCGUAAACGAUGUCAACUAGCCGUU